UUAUCUUCUGAAUCUUCAUGCGGAGCAAAGAGAAAAUAAUGUGAGAUCUACAGCCAGGAUAUCUCCUGGCACUCUGCAAAGGCCAGGCUGACCGGGGACAGAGUUGGUGUCAUGAAAGAGAACCGAACUCACCACCUUGCGCUUGCCAGGCAGGCGCUUUUGCCGCUGAGCUAAAUCCCCAGCCCCUCCAAUCACUAAUUUUUGUGCUUGAGAAAAAUGACUUUAAUGAGAACUCCUUCUGCAUGAGACACAUUAGGUACAAAAUUACAGUCAGUGUCAGUGAGGGUCUAAAGAGAGAGCAUGUCAUUUCUCCUAAAUCUUUAUAGAAACUUCCAGAGGUUUUAACUCACAUGGUCCAAAGUUACCAUAUUCAGUUCUAUCUGGACACUGCAAUAAUAUUUGUAAAUCAGUGACCUUGUAUCCUUCCCCAGCAAGCCUUAUGUUUGAAUUACACAUCAAGUUACCAGCAGAGAAAAUUAACUACUAUGUUUGAAGAGCUAGAAUGAAAAUAAAGAAAAUUGGAAGAAUGUUUGGAUCUUAAUGGUAACAUGUUCAACCAGAGCUAUUGGAACAUUUUAUCGAGUGCAUGGAGAUGUGUACAUUCCUUCUAACAAACUGGUGAAAUGGGAGUGGCCGAACAGUGGAGGACUGGGUUCAAUAAACACUGCCGUCUAACAUAGUGGUGGAGACUUUCCUGAGUCUGAGAAGAGAGAUAUGCUUCCAUUGUUAAAGAGAGGGCAAAGACUGUUUUUCAUGUGUGUUCAUUCUUGUAGGUGAGAUCUGCCCUGGCUACUCCACCCCAUUCCCCAGUCUAAUUCUUUUUCAAUAACACUUCUCACUUUUAAAUCA